GUCCAGCUAGCUCAGUUGGUUAGCAUGGGACUCUUCAUCUCAGGAUUGUGGGUUUGUAUCCCAAGUCUGGAUA